CAGGGUCUGGUGCCUGAAGCACUUCUGAUAAGCACCCGCUGACGAACACUUCUGACAGAAGCAGCACAGUUUGGAGCUUGUUUACGGUGUCGAUGGCAUUAUUUAUCAUCAGUUUCUGAGAAUGAAUUCACAAGAAGAAAAAAAAAAAAAAAGAGAGAGGAGUUUUUAGUUGUAAGAUUCUCCUGAACAAAUUGGAUAUGAUAAGUUAAUCCAAAUCAGUUACUUCUCCGCGGUGAUUGAGCGCGAGUAAGUAGUCCAGAAGCGGUUUCAUGCUCUCGGACUUGUCGCCCAGUUUCGAAGAUAAGAAUCUCGACACGAACUGCAUUCCAUUCCCUACGGAUGAAGGCAGUGCUAGGAGAGGGGUUGAUAGAUUGAAAGCCCCGAAGUCGAUUUCCAACGCAUUCUCGUCCUUCGCCCUGCGAUUUUCACAUGUUCACAAGUACUCUGAUGGCGUGAUUCCCUCGACCGAGAGAUCAUUGGAAUGCACCUUAACAUACUCCCAGAUUCCGGGCUGAGGCCUCACUGCAAAGGCUACAUAUGG